rnacentral:rRNA from 1 species
GACGAACGCUGGCGGCGUGCUUAACACAUGCAAGUCGAACGGUAAGGCCCUUCGGGGUACACGAGUGGCGAACAGGUGAGUAACACGUGGGUGAUCUGCCCUGCACUUCGGGAUAAGCCUGGGAAACUGGGUCUAAUACCGGAUAGGACCACUGCCUGCAUGGGUGGUGGUGGAAAGCUUUUGCGGUGUGGGAUGGGCCCGCGGCCUAUCAGCUUGUUGGUGGGGUGAUGGCCUACCAAGGCGACGACGGGUAGCCGGCCUGGGAGGGUGACCGGCCACACUGGGACUGGGAUGCGGACCAGGCUCCGACGGGGGGCAGCAGUGGGGAAUAUUGCACAAUGGGCGCAAGCCUGGUGCAGCGACGCCGCGUGAGGGAUGACGGCCCUCGGGUUGUAAACCUCUUUCAGCACCGACGAAGCGCAAGUGACGGUAGGUGCAGAAGAAGGACCGGCCAACUACGUGCCAGCCGCCGCCGUAA